AUGGGCCGGACCUCUAUCCUCCUUGUGCUACUAGCUCACUGCACAGGUUCCCUGUCCCAGCCGGUGCUGACCCAGCCCCCUUCUCUCUCUGCAUCUCUGGGAACUUCUGUGAGACUCACCUGUACCCUGAGAAGUGGCUCCAGAGUUGGUGAUUUCUGGAUAAGAUGGUACCAGCAGAAGCCAGGGAGCCCUCCCCGGUAUCUCCUGUACUACCACUCAGACUCAGAUAAGCACCAGGGCUCUGGGGUCCCCAGCCACUUCUCUGGAUGCAGUGAUGCCUCUGCCAAUGCAGGGCUUCUGAUCAUCUCUGGGCUGCAGCCUGAAGACGAGGCUGACUACUACUGUAACACAUGGCAAGGCAACUCUAAGUCUUACACUGUGUUCCAGACUCAUGAGGAAGUGUGA